rnacentral:lncRNA from 1 species
GUACAACAAGGUUACUGCUGAACAUGUGCUGACAGCAGCAUAAAUUACCUCCUCCCUUGGCCUCCCCAGGUGCUCCAGUGCCUAACAAGGAUUGAUCUAACGAUGAAGGUUUUUCCUCAGUAGGGCUAUGAACAGGGUUUCUGCCUGACUGGCAGUCUGUUUUUUAUAAAUGUAGCAUCUUCAGGAUCUUUUUGUCGUGGUCAAACCUGGUUGAAAUUGGCUAACAUUGAAGAGCUUCUGCAGGAGGACUGACAGCUGCACAAACAGAUUCAGACAAGGAAGCUAGGAAAAAAAAAAAAAAAAAAAAAAAAAAAAAAAAAAAAAAAAAAAAAAAAAAAAAAAAGCAAACAAACAAACGAAAAACUAGGUAGCUACAUUAAAUUCUCAUCCAAACUAUUGGGGAAUACAGAGAUACAGAGAAAAGUCAGAGAGAUGAAGCAAAGGAGGCUAAACAGCCUUGUUUUGUCGUUAAAUGAUGGCUACACAAAACAUUAAGCAUCCAGUCUUCAGUCUUAAUUCCCACUUUAAAUUGAGACCAGAAGUUCCCUAUUAACUUAAGGGAAGAAGAAUUGGAUACAUUUGGAUAGGUAGCUGUGAUAAAUGGAUUUGCUUCUCCCUGCUCUCUCUUUUGGGGCUUUUACAGGCAGCAUGAAGUUUGUAGGAUUCCAACUCAAAAGCUGGGCAUUACUCUGUGUUGUCAUGGGGGUGUUGUUUUUACCAACUAAUGGGGAGAAUGAGUAG